GACGUAGGUGGCGAACGUUAUCCGGAAUUAUUGGGCGUAAAGGGUGCGUAGGUGGCCUGACAAGUUAUCAGUGGUAAAUCGAGGCUCAACCUCGUGGAAACUGGUAAUACUGUCCGGCUCGAGUACAGGAGAGGUUAACGGAACUCUAUGUGGAGCGGUAAAAUGCACAGAUAUAUAGAAGAACAUCAAUAACGGCGAAGGCAGUUAACUAUUCUGUUACUGACACUGAGGCACGAAAGCGUGGGGAGCAAAACGG
rnacentral:rRNA from 1 species